rnacentral:rRNA from 1 species
GAGACAGCAGCCGCCGCGGUAAUACGUAGGUGGCAAGCGUUGUCCGGAAUUAUUGGGCGUAAAGGCCUCGCAGGCGGUUUCUUAAGUCUGAUGUGAAAGCCCCCGGCUCAACCGGGGAGGGUCAUUGGAAACUGGGAAACUUGAGUGCAGAAGAGGAGAGUGGAAUUCCACGUGUAGCGGUGAAAUGCGUAGAGAUGUGGAGGAACACCAGUGGCGAAGGCGACUCUCUGGUCUGUAACUGACGCUGAUGCACGAAAGCUAGGGGAGCAAACAGGAUUAGAUACCCCGGUAGUCCCUGUCUCUUAUAC